AUGCUUGCUUCAACAGUACAUAUCCUAAAAUAGGAACGAUACAGCGAAGAUUAGCAUCGUUCCUGUGCAAGGAUGGCAUGCAAAUUCAAGAAACAUUCUAUAUUUUA